rnacentral:rRNA from 1 species
UGGGGAAUUUUGGACAAUGGGCGAAAGCCUGAUCCAGCAAUGCCGCGUGUGUGAAGAAGGCCUUCGGGUUGUAAAGCACUUUUGUCCGGAAAGAAAUCCUUGGCUCUAAUACAGUCGGGGGAUGACGGUACCGGAAGAAUAAGCACCGGCUAACUACGUGCCAGCAGCCGCGGUAAUACGUAGGGUGCAAGCGUUAAUCGGAAUUACUGGGCGUAAAGCGUGCGCAGGCGGUUUGCUAAGACCGAUGUGAAAUCCCCGGGCUCAACCUGGGAACUGCAUUGGUGACUGGCAGGCUAGAGUAUGGCAGAGGGGGGUAGAAUUCCACGUGUAGCAGUGAAAUGCGUAGAGAUGUGGAGGAAUACCGAUGGCGAAGGCAGCCCCCUGGGCCAAUACUGACGCUCAUGCACGAAAGCGUGGGGAGCAAACAGGAUUAGAUACCCUGGUAGUCCACGCCCUAAACGAUGUCAACUAGUUGUUGGGGAUUGCAUUUCCUUAGUAACGUAGCUAACGCGUGAAGUUGACUGCCUGGGGAGUACGGUCGAAGAUU